rnacentral:rRNA from 1 species
ACACAGGUGCUGCAUGGCUGUCGUCAGCUCGUGUCGUGAGAUGUUGGGUUAAGUCCCGUAACGAGCGCAACCCUUGUCCUUAGUUACCAGCACGUUAUGGUGGGCGACUCUAAGGAGACUGCCGGUGACAAACCGGAGGAAGGUGGGGGAUGACGUCAAGUCAUCAUGGCCCUUACGGCCUGGGCUACACACGUGCUACAAUGGUCGGUACAAAGGGUUGCCAAGCCGCGAGGUGGAGCUAAUCCCAUAAAACCGAUCGUAGUCCGGAUCGCAGUCUGCAACUCGACUGCGUGAAGUCGGAAUCGCUAGUAAUCGUGAAUCAGAAUGUCACGGUGAAUACGUUCCCGGGCCUU